UACGUAGGGGGCAAGCGUUGUCCGGAUUUAUUGGGCGUAAAGAGCGUGUAGGCGGCCGUACAGGUCAGCUGUGAAAACUCGAGGCUCAACCUCGAGACGUCGGUUGAAACCGUACGGCUAGAGUCCGGAAGAGGAGAGUGGAAUUCCCGGUGUAGCGGUGAAAUGCGCAGAUAUCGGGAAGAACACCCGUGGCGAAGGCGGCUCUCUGGGACGGUGCUGACGCUGAGACGCGAAAGCGUGGGGAGCGAACAGG
rnacentral:rRNA from 1 species